rnacentral:rRNA from 1 species
AUACCGCGUGUGUGAAGAAGGCCUUCGGGUUGUAAAGCACUUUAAGCAGGGAGAAAAAGUUAUAAGUUAAUACCUUAUAACCCUGAUGUUACCUGCAGAAUAAGCACCGGCUAAUUCCGUGCCAGCAGCCGCGGUAAUACGGAAGGUGCAAGCGUUAAUCGGAAUUACUGGGCGUAAAGCGCGCGUAGGUGGUUUGUUAAGUUGGAUGUGAAAGCCCUGGGCUCAACCUAGGAACUGCAUCCAAAACUAACUCACUAGAGUACGAUAGAGGGAGGUAGAAUUCAUAGUGUAGCGGUGGAAUGCGUAGAUAUUAUGAAGAAUACCAGUGGCGAAGGCGGCCUCCUGGAUCUGUACUGACACUGAGGUGCGAAAGCGUGGGUAGCGAACAGGAUUAGAUACCCUGGUAGUCCACGCCGUAAACGAUGACAACUAGCUGUUGGGAGACAAUGUCUUUCAGUGGCGCAGCUAACGUUUUAAGUUGUCCGCCUGGGGAGUACGGCCGCAAGGCUAAAACUCAAAUGAAUUGACGGGGACCCGCACAAGCGGUGGAGCAUGUGGUUUAAUUCGAUGCAACGCGAAAAACCUUACCUACUCUUGACAUACUUGGGAGCUCUUGUAAUGAGAGUGUGCCUUUUGGAACCAAGAUACAGGUGCUGCAUGGCUGUCGUCAGCUCGUGUCGUGAGAUGUUCCGUUAAGUCC